UUAAAAAGCUCGUAGUUGGAUUUCUGCUUGAGAGGGACGGCAGGCGUCAUUGACGUUUAGUCUGACUUCUCGUGCAUCCUGCCACGAACCACGUUGCUCUUAAUUGAGUGGCGUCGGGGAUUGGCUCGUUUACUUUGAGAAAAAUAGAGUGUUCAAAGCAGGCUUACGCAUCUGAAUAAGUUAGCAUGGAAUAAUGAUAAAGGACUUUGGUUCUAUUUGUUGGUGUUCGGAACUGAAGUAAUGAUUGAUAGGGACAGUUGGGGGCAUCAGUAUUCCGAAGCGAGAGGUGAAAUUCUAGGACCUUCGGAAGACUAACCGCUGCGAAAGCGUUUGCCCAAGGAUGUUCCCUUUGAUCAAGAACGAAAGUUGGGGGAUCGAAGACGAUCAGAUACCGGUCGUAGUCUCAACUAUAAACUAUACCAGCUAGGGAUCGGCCGGCGUUUAUUUCUAAGGGC
rnacentral:rRNA from 1 species